CCAGUGUGUGUGUGUGUGUGUGUGUGUGUGUACAUUACACACAAAAACACACACACACAAAACACAGAGG